AACAUUCGAUUUUGAAUAUUUCUUUGAAAACAGGUACAAUGAUGAGCUCAAAUGGUGAUUCGGCACCAGUGUUUACAGUCUGUUUGAUAAACAAACAAUGCAACGUACACAAAUCGUCGCCUUAUUUCCAGACUGACGUAACUCGAUUUUUUCGAAAAUAUGGAGUGUUUGGUAUCAUUUUUUCUGCUCGUCGAGCUCUAGAUGAUGAGACUAUAAGUGUCCCUAUAGAACGUCUAUAAUUGUGUUUAAUUUCAGUUCCAUACUGACGCAUGUCGGGUUUCUGGCUUUCAGUUGAUUUCCAGGGUGACGUUAAAAAUCAACCAAUCGCGUUGUUUUAUUUGGUCGCCAUCUUGGAUUUAGAGCAAUGGCUGUGUUAGAUUUGUGCAGUGACAACAAGUGGAUUUUCUUUAGAAAAACUAGUCGUGCUAGUUGUAUUGUACAAAUAUGCUGAAUUUCGAUGUGCUUCCAGAUGAACUAAUACUGCAUGUUUUCAUAUAAAUUGACCUACAACACCUUCUCCAGUCUGUAAAUAGAGUGUGUCAUAAGCUCGAAGGAAUUCUUAGAACCGAGUUUAUCACUUGCUAAAAUGUAUGAGCUAUAUGAGGAUCACUGUCAAAAUAUCCUGAAAACCCCUCUUAAGAUAAACAUGUACAGAAAGAUAUUUAAUACAGAAUAUAACAUUGGUUUUCAUAUCCCCAAGAAAGAUAGAUGUGACUUAUGUGAGGAAAUAAAGUAGCUAAUUCAGAAAACCAGACCAGUAACGAAUUACUUGAAAAGUAUAAUGAACAUAGCAAUGAUAAAGUUUUGACCAAGAAUGAAAGAGAUAAAGACAGAAGGAAUUACAGAGAGGACAUGGUGGUUGUGUCUUUUGAUUUAGAAAAUGUAAUUCUUCUGCCAAAGUCAUAAUUAUGUAAGCAUUUUUUUCUAUAAACGGAAAUUAUAUACCUACAAUCUCACAGCACAUUCUUCCAAAGAUGGAUGCGCUUAUAACUGCAUUUGGCAUGAAGCUAUUAGCGGUAGAGGAGCAAACGAUAUUGCCAGUGCAGUGGUUACAAUCCUCAAAGAUAUUAAACGUGUUCACCCUGAAAUUACUUCAUUCAUAUUGUGGUCUGAUGCAUGUGUUCCUCAGAACAAGAACUCUGUUAUGUCGUUUGCAUUCAAGAGGUUCAUGGAGGACUAUAAUAUUGAGUCAAUUGUACAAAAAUUUGGCUGUCCUGGCCACUCGAGUGUACAAGAAGUUGAUAAUAUCCACAGUAAUAUCGAGAGGAUAACAAGAUAUGCAGAGAUUUACAGUCCCAUCGCAUUGAUAAGAGACCUGAAAUCAAUGCGUCGUAGAAGUUCAGUACGCAUUAUCUAAAUGCAAAAGCACAAUUUCAUGGAUUAUCAGAAAUGUAUUAUGCCGUUAAAAUUCAACGAAAUUCCUUUCACCAAAGUGAAGUGUUUGAAGUAUGAUAAGUGUUUGCCAUUUCACAUUGGGUACAAACUUUCGUAUAGUGCGACUGACUUCAGAACAGCCCAUAAUUAUUGAAAUUAGACAAACACAAGCACGAACCAACAAACAACCAGAAUUCUUACCAAGACCAGCACAAUCAAACAAAGUUCCAAUUAUUUCUCAAGACAAAAAGAAGGACAUAACUUGUAUGCUCAAAUACAUGCCAGAGGUCGAUAGACAAUUCUACAAAGCAUUGAAACUAGUUAUUAAUGAAUAAGUACUGGAAUGCUACUAUUAAAGCAUCAUUUUGUGCUUUGAAAUAUGCUUUAAAAGCCAAUGUGACAGAAUGUUUUGCGUUUGAUUUGUUACUAAGACUUUUUCUGAAAAUUUGUGUCUUUUAGUUGUUACCAGUUUGGUAUGUUUGUGAUUGACAUUUUGCAAAACUCUUUUGGUUAGUCUUUAAAUCCAGUGUUUUUGAGGAGGUGACAGUUUAAAAAUUGUACACAAUGUACUCUGUACACAAUCAUAAUCAACAUACAUUAUUCUAGACAGUAAUGGUGUUUAGUCCGUUUUACAUAUACCAGUUAAAUCUGUUUUGUGUUAGACUUUUUGCAAAGACAUUGUGAGGUAAAUUUAUAUGUGUUUUGAACAGUUUUAAAAGUUUAAUAUGUUUGUGUUUGACUUCUUGAAGAAACUUAUUAUGAUAAGUACACGCUUUGAACAUUUUAACUGGACAGACAAACAUUUUUUUUAUUGACAUUAUAUUUUUUUCGAUAGUUAAAAGUGGGUGCUUUAAGCAGUAUUCAUACUUGAAUCUAGAAAUAAAUGAAUAAGAAGAACUUGUAAUUACUUUUUAAGAUAAAUAAUUAUGUGCUUCGAACAAUUUUGUUUUGAAUUCCAAUACAACGUGUUUAUAUUUUUUCUAUUGACCAUCCAAUAUCUCAGUAUAUCAGAGAGAUGGAUUUUUAAUAAAACUACUUAAUACUUAUCAAUGCAUCAUGUUAAGUAAAAUAAUAAUCCCAUUCAGUGGAUACUAUUAUUUAAUUGAAUUAUUCAAUUCAAAAUUUAACUAAGAAAGGUUUCAUCUCUGAAUUUUGUUUUUUUUAAAUAUCAAAACGUUUAUAUAAUUAUGUGCACUGUUUUAUUGUUUCUGGAAUAAAGUUACGUCAAAAUUA
rnacentral:lncRNA from 1 species